rnacentral:rRNA from 1 species
CACCUACGGGUGGCUGCAGUGGGGAAUUUUGCGCAAUGGACGAAAGUCUGACGCAGCAACGCCGCGUGGGUGAUGAAGGUCUUCGGAUUGUAAAACCCUGUCGCCAGGGACGAAGGGUGAGGUGUGAAUAGCGCCUUACUUUGGCGGUACCUGGAAAGGAAGCCCCGGCUAACUCUGUGCCAGCAGCCGCGGUAAUACAGAGGGGGCAAGCGUUAUUCGGAAUUAUUGGGCGUAAAGGGCGCGUAGGCGGUUUUUUAAGUCGGAUGUGUAAUCCCUGGGCUCAACCCAGGAACUGCAUCCGAGACUGGAAGGCUAGAGUGCUGGAGAGGGUGGUGGAAUUCCUCGUGUAGCGGUGAAAUGCGUAGAGAUGAGGAGGAACACCAGUGGCGAAGGCGGCCACCUGGACAGUAACUGACGCUGAGGCGCGAAAGCGUGGGUAGCAAACAGGAUUAGAUACCCUGGUAGUCCACGCCGUAAACGAUGAACACUUGGUGUGCCGGGAGUUGACCCCCGGCGUGCCGGAGCUAACGCGUUAAG